GGAGUUCUGAGUAAGGGCGUGUGGUGGAUGCCUUGACUGAAGAAGGCGAUGAAGGACGCGGCAUAGCGGCGAUAUGCUUCGGGGAGGUGCUUAGCAACCUACGAUCCGGAGAUUUCCGAAUGGGGAAACCCCAUCGAGCGAACCUCGAUGACUCUCUAGUUAAACGCCAGAGAGGGCAGACCUCGGGAAGUAAAACAUUUCAGUACCGAGAGGAAAAGAGAACAAUUGUUAUUCCCUUAGUAGCGGCGAGCGAAACGGGAUCAGCCCAAACUCAGCCACAUAAAUAGCUUGGAGCCAUAAGCCGGUAGCCCGUAGCGGAAUUCGUUUUGCUACAAGCUGCUGGCUACAAGCUACAAGCUGUUUAUGCGGAUGGGGGUUAUAAGGCUACAGCGCUGGAAACAGGUGGAGUUACAAAAUGCUUAGUUAGUGGAACGAGCUGGGAAGCUCGACUCCAAAGGGUAAUAGUCCCGUACACGAAAACGAAGCAUCUCUAUGGCUGUAGUUCUUGAGUAUCUCGAGACACGAAUAGCUCGAGUGAAUUUGCCGGAACUAACCGGUAA
rnacentral:ncRNA from 1 species